AUUGAACGCUGGCGGCAUGCCUUACACAUGCAAGUCGAACGGCAGCACGGGUGCUUGCACCUGGUGGCGAGUGGCGAACGGGUGAGUAAUACAUCGGAACGUACCUUAUCGUGGGGGAUAACGCAGCGAAAGCUGUGCUAAUACCGCAUACGCCCUGAGGGGGAAAGCGGGGGAUCGAAAGACCUCGCGCGAUUAGAGCGGCCGAUGCCUGAUUAGCUUGUUGGUGGGGUAAAAGCCCACCAAGGCGACGAUCAGUAGCUGGUCUGAGAGGACGAUCAGCCACACUGGGACUGAGACACGGCCCAGACUCCUACGGGAGGCAGCAGUGGGGAAUUUUGGACAAUGGGGGCAACCCUGAUCCAACAAUGCCGCGUGAGUGAAGAAGGCCUUCGGGUUGUAAAGCUCUUUUGUCAGGGAAGAAACACCGGCUCUAACACAGUCCGGGAAUGACGGUACCUGAAGAAUAAGCACCAGCUAACUACGUGCCAGCAGCCGCCGUAA
rnacentral:rRNA from 1 species